rnacentral:rRNA from 1 species
GUCCACGCCGUAAACGGUGGGCGCUAGGUGUGGGGGACUUCCACGUCUUCUGUGCCGCAGCUAACGCAUUAAGCGCCCCGCCUGGGGAGUACGGCCGCAAGGCUAAAACUCAAAGGAAUUGACGGGGGCCCGCACAAGCGGCGGAGCAUGCUGAUUAAUUCGAUGCAACGCGAAGAACCUUACCAAGGCUUGACAUACAUCGGAAACUUCCAGAAAUGGUUGCCCCGCAAGGUCGGUGUACAGGUGGUGCAUGGUUGUCGU